UAGAAGAGAGGAGCUGAGAAGAACUGACAAGAGCAGGUUGAGUGGCCCAUAUAUGCCCAGGGGAGGGGAUUUAGAAGAAAAGAAUGAGAUGGCGGCCCUCCAGCGUUCAGUCUGGUGGAAAAGACAGACAAGCCAAGAAAUCCUUAUAGCAAGGAGAGAGAGACAGAGCAUGAGCAGGGGAGGAGCAGAGAGAGAGGGAGACACAGAUUUCAAAGCAGGCUCCAGGCCCUGAGCUGUCAGGACAGAGCCCCAUGCGGGGCUUGAACCCACGAACCGUGAGAUCAUGACCUGAGCCGAAGUCAGACGCUCAACCGACUGAGCUGCCCAGGCGCCCCAGCCAUUUGUCAUUUUUAAGAUGAACAACUUGAGUGACAGGAGAUUCUUUCAGAAACUCACAGGGGGGCCAAAGUGAGACCUCAGCAUCAGACUCCAGGGCCUAUCAAGCCAUGGAGGAAAGCUCUUGUGUAUACGGCCAGCCCAACACCGUUUGGAACGUCCUUCCUACAUGAAAACUGACAGCCCUUAAACAACCGAAUGCAGCCUCUCUUAUAAGAAGCUGGUGGGAUAGUCCCUUGGUCUUCCACGUGUUGCCAUCUCAUCAAUAAGAGGCGGUAACAAACUCAUCUCCAGCUGGGGUCUCUCGGACAACAACUCUAAUGGAUAUUUUUAAUUCAUAUGGAAACCAAUAAUUCUGGCCACUUCAGGAAAAGCAGUUUGUGAUACAGUUUGCCUCCUCUCUCUCUCUCUCCUUUUCUCUCCAGUUAAUUUCCGUGACCUACUUCUCCUUUACUAAGUAGUUAUCCUCUUCUGCAUUUGAACUCACGGGUUGUCUAAAGGCUUGUUUACUAUCGUCACUGCUGGUUGCUUUUGCUUUGUUGUCAUUUUAAUGAGUUCACAGGGUAGAAGUGGUGGGGAAAGUGAGGUCAUGUGCUUCAGGGAAGGUGGAUCAAGGUGGCCAUGCACAAGUGGGGCUCAUUUGUAAAACUUUUUUAAUGGACCAUUUCUAACUCUCAAAUAUUUAGUUUUCAAAUCUGCCCCCCCCCCCGCCAAUAUUUUGUUUACUUCAGAUUAAAAGUAGGAUAUUUCUGGGUCAAAGUCUGCACUACAUUAUCUUAAUUAUUGUUGCAAGGUGUUAGACUGACUUUGGAACAGAAGGAAAACCUAGAGGAAAAAACACUUUGCAAGAUAUGACUUUUAUCACCUCCCACUACAAAUAAAAUGAAAGGGAGUUUCCAUUUGUAUGGAACCCAGAAAACAAUGUUUUUGCUGCCUCGGGGAUCUUCUAAAGAUUUUUAUAAGAUAUAAAGAUAACAUUUGUUCAUCAUAUACAAUUUGUAACUGGAGAAAAAUGUA